AGAACGAACGCUGGCGGCAGGCUUAACACAUGCAAGUCGAACGGUUGUAGCAAUACAGCAGCGGCAGACGGGUGAGUAACACGUGGGAACCCUCCUAGGGGUACGGAACAACUCAGGGAAACUUGAGCUAAUACCGUAUACGUCCGUGAGGAGAAAGAUUUAUCGCCCCUAGACGGGCCCGCGUAGGAUUAGGUAGUUGGUGAGGUAACGGCUCACCAAGCCUACGAUCCUUAGCUGAUCUGAGAGGAUGAUCAGCCACACUGGGACUGAGACACGGCCCAGACUCCUACGGGAGCAGCAGGUGGGAAUCUUGGACAAGUGGGCGCAAGCCUGACUCCAGCCAUGCCGCGUGAG
rnacentral:rRNA from 1 species